UAAUUACGGGAAAAUAUUUAAACAGGAGGACAGGAUAAUCCCGGGAAAAACGGGAGGGUUGACAGGUAUGGACUCUACGGUGAAAUUGACCCAUAAAGCAAGACUAGUGUGCCGAUUAUUUUGGGCACCGCCGUUGGUCCACUCUUGUACGCGACAAUUAGGCCACAACGUUAACUCAUAACAGCACAUAAUCUCAGUCCUACCAUAACCAGUUGCCUUUGCGACUCAUAACCUUAAACUAAGAUAAGUAAACAAUUUUCGCAGGGGAAAACGCACUUAAAUACACCUGUGAUAAUUACAAGAUCAUUUUUGUUUAUCUUCAAAUCCAAAUUUAACUUCCCCGUCUCCCGUGCUGUUUACCUGAUGUCUGCCAAUAAAUACAAUCGGGACCAAAUGAGCUUCUUGAACCAGCAGGGAUGGCAGCCGCAGUUGUUGCCUGUGCAGCGUUAUGUCCAAAAUGCAUGGCUCAACUGAUGUCAGAUAAACACGAUGUCACAGUCACCUCAGAUACUUCGUCAACGGAAGAGAAGAUCUCCCUCACUGCAUGAAAACAAGAAAAUUGUGCCGCUCACUGUGAAGAACUCUGGUGUCAAAAUAGUUUAUUUAACUCUUUGGGCUUCUGACCUCGUAAAAAACAUUUUCACUAUCAGAGACUUUCAUGGAAAUAGAAUCAAGACUAUGAAGCAACUCCCUCUUGGACCAGGACAGGCAUAUACAAUCGAUGUCCAUUUCUACUCGGAGUAUGCAGGCUUCUAUGGACAGUUAUUGGUCUUUAAGUUUGAAACAAGGCUGCGGUCCUCAGAUCAUUUUGAGAUUAUGCGCCUGUUGGAAGUCAGACAUCGAACAUCUUUUGUUGAAGAGCCCGUCCCUACAGCCACAAACGCAUUGUGCUACAUUCACACUAAGGUGUGUGUGUGUGUGUGUGUGUGUGUGUGUGUGUGUGCGUUUGCGUGUGCGUGUGUGUUCGUGUGUGUGUGAUUACUUAUGAAAUCAUCCAAUACAGUAUUUUUGGUGAUUUAUUACUGAUUUGAGAAUCUUAAUAAUUUUCUCUCAUGGCCUUUUAUUUAUUUUUAGAAAUAAAUAACCACAAAAGUUUGAAUGUGAAAGAGUUUUAUAUGGUUUUCUGGUUUCUCCAUUCACUUGGAAUACUGUCACUCCUCCCAAUUUAAGUAAAGCAGAAUGCAAAUGUGUUGGUCACUGCUUUUAUUAGUCAUCUAAGUUAUUACUGUCCUGUGUUCUGUGUUUGGUUUUCCACUCCAGUGUUAGAUUGAGCUGGCUUUUGCCUGUUGUGCAUUUGAAGGGUUAUCCGAUGCCCGACAAUAUAAAACAGCUCAAGAAAUCCACCAUGUAUGUAUUUUCACGUACACACUCACAAUCAGGAGGUAAACAUAAUUUGUACCAAAUGUAAUGGUAAAUGUAUAUAGCGCUUUUUCCAAUCUUUGGGAUCAACAUUCACACAACAACAACAACAUUGGAUGCUUUAAACCAGGGGUGUCAAACAUACGGAACCGGCCCGCCAGAGGGUCCAAUCAGGCCCGCGGGAUGAUUUUGCAAAGUGUAAAAAUGACAGCGAAGACAUUAACUUCAAAUGUUCAAUACAAGUAAGCGCUAUUUGAAAUGUGUCCACUGGGGGUCGCACACAACACUGCCAAGCAAGCAAACUGUUCAUGCUGGAGCUGCCUGCAACAGAACCUUCUGGA
ensembl:lncRNA